AUGGAGUUUCACUCUUGUUGGCCAGGCUGGAGUGCAAUGGCAUGGUCUUGGCUUACUGCAACAUCUGCCUCUUAGGUCCAAGCAAUUCUCCUGCCUCAGCAAAGAUAUCUGCACUCUCAUGUUCAUUGCAGGAUUAUUUACAAUUGUCAAGAUGUGGAAUCAACCCAGAUGACUCAUUACCAAAGAAUAAUUGAAGAUAUUUCCUCACAGGAGUAAUGGAUGCCUGAUCAUCUGAGAUUACAUCUGCUUCACGCAUACAAACUGCAUAAGGCAAUGAUGUUGCAGAGGCUCCACAUCAUCACUCACGUUCAGAACAGACAGGAGCAGCAGCAGGAAAGGAGGCUGGAAAUUAAAUCGUGAACUUUUGGAUUGUGAUUUUAAAAAUAUAUCUGAAAUUAUCAUGUACAUGAAUAAUAACUUGUAAUAGAAAUAGAAAAGAUAAACUCCUAAGAUAAUGUAAAAAGCUAAAUAUUUUAAAUAUUCAUCUUUUUUAUGGUUGAGUGAAUGUUUGAUAUCUCAUGUUAUCUUGAUUAUCUCUGACCUCUAAUACCUGAUUCUCCACUCCUUCUAUCUUCUUAUCUCCUUUCCCAAAUGUAAAGUCUUGUCUUUAAUUGAUGAAAAUAAGCCUAAAAGCUUGACGAUAGGGAAAUUUUUUUCUAGUUUUAAUUUGAAUAUUUAUCAUCAAACUGAACUUACGUUUCUGAUUUGAGAACUUCAGAAAAUUUUGUCUUUUCAAUGUGGACAGUGCCAG
rnacentral:lncRNA from 1 species